ACAAAGUGGUUACCUAUUCUAGAC
rnacentral:siRNA from 1 species